UACGUAGGGCGCAAGCGUUGUCCGGAAUUAUUGGGCGUAAAGGGCUCGUAGGCGGUUUGUCGCGUCGGGAGUGAAAACCUACAGCUUAACUGUGGGCUUGCUUUCGAUACGGGCAGACUUGAGGCAUGCAGGGGAGAACGGAAUUCCUGGUGUAGCGGUGAAAUGCGCAGAUAUCAGGAGGAACACCGGUGGCGAAGGCGGUUCUCUGGGCAUGUUCUGACGCUGAGGAGCGAAAGCGUGGGGAGCGAACAGG
rnacentral:rRNA from 1 species